UACGGAGGAUGCAAGCGUUAUCCGGAAUGAUUGAGCGUAAAGCGUCCGCAGGUGGCUGUGUAAGUCUGCUGUCAAAGAGCGAAGCUCAACUUCGUAAAGGCAGUGGAAACUACACGGCUAGAGUGCGUUCGGGGCAGAGGGAAUUCCUGGUGUAGCGGUGAAAUGCGUAGAGAUCAGGAAGAACACCGGUGGCGAAGGCGCUCUGCUAGGCCGCAACUGACACUGAGGGACGAAAGCUAGGGGAGCGAAUGGG
rnacentral:rRNA from 1 species